AUGUUCUCUCAGUUUUGGUCCUGACCCUAUUGAUUGGCUCAACCUAUUGAGUGAGUCCUCAUGUGAAGGUCACAGAUUUCUCAACAGUCUAGGCUUGGCCAAAUAAACCAUAUGUGUACUUGACUGAAAUGAGGAGAUACAGCUCACACAAUCCCAGGACAAUUAGAAUUCCAGUUGGUAAUCCAGUGGAAAGAGUAUGAAUGGCAGGUUUUAAUUUUCUUCUGGGUAAAAAAACAUGCAGAGGUGGGUGAACUGUAUAUUCCAAACAACAGAGAUGGUCCAGCUUAUUAUACAAUACUCAAGAUGGAAUGUCAGCUUUUGAGUAGCUCCUAUUUCCUGUUCCCUGCCCUGCCCUAACCUCUCUGCCCACCACAGGACUUGUCUUGUCUGAAACUCAUGUCAUCUGGGACAAAUGCCAGAUAUGGUGCUUUUUCUGACAUGACAUAGGAUACCUACAAGGGUCUCCAGAAGGAAUUUUGCAGGGUUGUCCCUAUUGUUGUGAGUCUAUGCCUGAAGUUCCCCUUGAUGUCACCUUGUGCCUAUCCUGUGUGCACAGCUUCUUGUUCAGAUCAGGAGGAGCCUGACAGGUCUACAAAAGCCAUUCCAUCCCUGGGAGUUUAAAGCUAUUUUAAAGGAGCCAUUUGACCACCCAUGUGUGUAUUUGUGUCCCUACUACUUGCUGAUAUCACAUCAGAAUAUAAAUCUAUUGCUCUAACAUCUAAUUUUAUAUGGCCCAUAAACUAAGAGUGGUUUCUAAAUUUACAUGGUUAAAACAAAUCAAAAUAUAAGUAAAUUAUAAUAAAAUUCAAAUUUCAGUAUCCGUAAAGGAAGUUUCAUUGGAACAUAGCCAUGCGUAUUUGUUUAUAUCUUGUGCAUGUCUGCUUCUGCUCUAUAACAUGGCACCGCUAAGUGUGGAAAGCCAUGAUUUGAAUCACAGUCUGACUCUCUCAUGGCGGAAUUGGGCUGGGAACUGCCUGUGUGAAGAUACAGGUCAAGACGGCCCAAUUGCUAUGCUGACACUGGCCCAAGGAAACUGCAAAGGCUCAGAGUAUUGGUCGGAAACUGAACUCAGUCACCAAUUCCCAGGGAUAGAGAAUUCUGGGCAUAACAAGAUGAGAAAACUGAAGAAGAUGGAGAUUGAGUAAAUUCUUCAGUAAAUGAGCAAAAGAGCCAGGAUUGGAACACUAGAUUCUUAGACAUGGUCUCUUAACCAUUGUGCCAUUCUGUCUUUCUGGAGAUGAGUGGACAGAGGAACAACUGGAUAGAUACACUGCAAAAAAAAAAAAAAAGUUCCAAAUGGAGAAUACAUAGAAUUUUCCAAGGAAACUAUCCACAUAAGGUCCUAAUAUUUUCCUCCAGAGGCAGGAUUAGAGUUUGAGGCAAGUAACAAAGUCCCAAGUUCAACAACCAGUGAAUUGGGGAGGUGCCAUUUACCUCUGCCAGACUUUUGCAGAAUACAGAAUGAGACUGACCCUCCAUGCUGUCUCUUUCCAAUCCAGCUGCUCCUUGUCAAGCUCUGGCAGUCACGGAGAGCCUGUUCAAGCUUCAUCCAACAAUCACACCUCUGUUAACUCUGAAAAAAAUAAAACAUAUUUCAUAAAA